CUUAUAUAAAAUAUCUUAUAUUAGAUUCAGUUUGUGAUUAUUUUGGAGUUUAUUUUUAAAGAUGAUUUUAAUAAAAGGACCAGAUUGAAAAGAACGGCGAUUCCUUGCAUGAAAAUCCCCGUAAGGAAACAUGACUGUGUUAAAAAUGAGACCUUGAAAAGGCAAAGAAAAUUAAGGUUAAAAAAAAAGAGGAGAAAAAAAGGAGAAAAUAUUUCUUGUGAACAAUUUCAGUCUUCAUGCAAUUCAAUAAACAGAAUUUUUAAUCAGCCUUUACAACAUCUUAAUUUCAGUAAUGAAGAACAUGAAGCUGCGGAA
rnacentral:lncRNA from 1 species